GUGAUGAAUGUUACCAGGACUGGGUCCUUCCCUUAAAGGCAGCAGGUUCCCUUCUGGCCCAAGGGUGUGUCUAGGAAAGUCAUCCAGGAACUAGGGCUUGGAAUGGGGGCCUCACAACUCUGAGGGCUGUCCUGUCCCUGUCCUGCUGGGACUGAGGUGGUAUCCAGGAGGCAAGACUAUGCGCUUCCCACUCUACCCUCUCCACUCCUAAAGGGGAGGGAGAGAUCUCUUUUGGACCAUGAACUGUGAAGCCUGGGGUUAGGUUAGGAAAGGGUUGAUGCCAGCACUCCCUUAGCUACCCCAGCUGGUGUCUCAAUAGGUCACAUGUCCUCUGCACCCAAACAAGUCCUCUGGCUUUGGGCCCAGUUCAGCACUGGGACUUGCCUAGGAGUUACAGUGCUUGUGUCCUAGACUGCCUUUUGAGUUUAUUUAGAGCCCCAUAGCACUUCAACCUGCAGUGGCAAGCCUCUCGGGAACUCAAAUUCUGACCAUUGGGAUCAGUGGUUCCCCUCUGGCUAGGGCUGGUUUAAAUACUCCCUCUGUAGGCAGGUGUCAGCUGAGUGCGGUCCGGUUUUCCUUUCUGCUAUAACAGGAAAGCACACUGAGUUCAAUGCCUCACAAUUGCUGGCUCUCCCUCUCUCCAAAGCACAGAAAUGCUCUUUGCACCACACCAUCACUGCCAGGGGAUGGAGGAGGGGUUGCACUGGUGAUUCAAGACUGUCCUACUUCUUCAGUGCCUCCUUCAGUGAUAUGAAGCCAAAACCAGACCAGGAAACUUUUUCAGCUUUGUGACUGAGAGACAGCCAGCCUUUCAGCUGGGUGAGCUUUCCAGUUGCAUGAGAAAGAGCUUCAUAAGAAACCACCUACACUCUUCCCAUCCAAAAAAAUAGAAAAAAAGAAAGAGAAGAAUAUAAAAAGAAUUGCUUCUCCUCCAAAAAUACAGCUCCUAGGUGCUGCUGAAAUGAGUGAGCAGGGUAAUUGAUGAGAGUUUGGGAGCUGGGAGAGCAGUGAGCUGAUGCUUGGAGCCUUGCCGCGAUCGGACACAGUAGGUUGAUUUUCCCCUCAACAUGCAGGACCAUACCUAACGAUUCCUUACAACAAAACAGAAUACAAAGUAAAGAGGAUUUGACACACAGCAAUUCCUACCAUCCUCUUGGCCCCCCAGCCCGGGAUAUUGAAGCCAAAGUUGAAUUUGAAAAGCACAUUUUCCCAAACUCCUAUUUUAAAAGCAGACACUAUCUUAAUGGCACAGUGAUAACAAUUAUAUUCAGUUAUUUUUUCUUCGAUCCUGCCAAAGAGAUGCUUGGGAAAAGCAAAGAUUUUUAACAUCUGGCUUGCCUGAACAGAAUUCGUACUUCAGUGAAGAAUGCUACAUUAUGAAGACUUCUCUUUCAAUUCUUUUAGUUUCUGGAUAUCAAUGAAGAUAUCACCACUAAUGAAAGUGGUAAAUCUGGGGAAGAUUACUCAGAGUGGCAAGAUUGCAACAUUUUUCCCAGGGAUUUUUAGGGACCCUCUCAACUAAACAAAUAGCAGUAAAGAAGAAUCACAUUUUAAAAUAUCCUUCUAAUGUACUCCAUUUUAAAUAUAUACACCUACUGUGUACCCAUGAAAAUUUUAAAAAAAAUUUUAAGUAUCCUUCCAGAGGUUUUGUGGAAAGGUGGGGUUUUAUUUUCUAAUAUCACAAAUAUUACUUGUUGAUUCAAGCCAGUCAUCUAGCCAGUUAUAGCAACUUCUCAAAGCUAUUUUAGGAAGAAAUUUUUGCUUCUUGUCAUCUUCCCACCAAAGAUAAGUUCUGGAGAAGUUCAUACGCUAUUAACUAUGACAAUAACUGAGACCUCAAUUUACAUUUUUCUCCUUGCUCCAAACUCAUUCCUGGGUCACCAGAAUAGACAUAGAUAUGAAUGUGUAGGCUCCAUGAGGACCACACCAGGCAGGAUACAAAAACACUGGAGUGUAUCAGGAGAAGUGAUUUGCCCUCCUCCUACCUGCCAAAGGUGGUGAUUUAGAAGUGAUUUAGGAGUAAGACUGGGGAGACUUCUUGAAGACAUCUUGGGAUAUUAGAGUCAUUCUAUUCACACCCUCGCUCCUUGAGAAAGGGGAUCAUUUGCCAUGGUCCCUCAUAGAGAGGAUCCCUAGAGACAAUCCCGCAAAGCUCAAGGGUACAUCUGAACAUAGGGACUGGCCCCAGUUUCUCGUUUGGAGUGUGCCAAGUGACAGAACCCAUUGGCACAUGCCAAGCCCCACGCAAAGGCCACCAGAGAGCUUUGGACAUAGGCAGAGGGCCUCAGAAAGGGGGGCAGAACAAGUCAGGAGAGGGCACAAAUCACCUCCCAGUUCUUCAAACACCCAAGGUGGUUGUAAUAGGGAGUCUAAGAUUCUUGGGGCCCGAGAGGCCCCAUAAGAUGGCUGACUGGCUGGUUGAAUUCUAAGCAAACUUCCGUUCCCUGGACACACAGGAAGCAAAGGGACUCAGUAGUAAUAUUAGUCUCAGGCUAAAGGGUCCCCUGUCCUGGACCCCAUGCUUUACAGGGUCCUGCCUUUGCCAACAAAUACAUUUACUAAAGAACACGCAUUGCUGCCAUUCUGGGUCUGAGAUCAGAGCUCAGAGCUGGCACAGACCAACCUAAAACUCUAAAUAUUUGCUCUCCCAGCUGACAUUAUGCAGGCCCCAGGGAAAUCUCCACUUGCAUUAGAUCCUGUAAAUAAAAGAUGUUAUAUGCAAAACUCUGAAGGUUUAUGGGCUGUGCUGCUACAGAGGCUGCUUUGGAGUGUGAAGAGGAUAGCAGUAUUGUUCAUAUUAUGCUUAAAUAUGUAUAUAUGUAGGUUUAGUUAUAUGCCUGAAGCAUAAUUCCUGUUCUUUACUAUGGCAAUUUGAUGGACAUUAAAUCCUAGAAUUGCAAAUAGUUUUUUUUUUAUAAAAUAGGCUUUUUAAUUUUAAUAAAUCUUGAAUAUUUGACAUGAAAUCUUAAUUAUUCAGAAAUGUAGGAAAAGUAAAUUUAUUUAUAUUUGUUUACUCCAAUUUAAAUUUUCUUAAUGCAUUCAAAUUGCAUAUAUUUUUAAUAUAAUUACAUUUAAUUUUUAAUCCAUUUGAUCACUGCUGACACAAGAAUACAAGUUAUAUAUGAAAAUAUUAAUUUUAUCAACACAAUUAGUGACUUUGCUAGAAAUGACCAAAAAAUUUUGAUUCUAGCAAGUAAGUACAUACUAAUUUCUGAAUUAUUACUCAUCCAAACAUUGCCAGCCCAUGAAGAGAAUGCCCAGGUACAUGCAAUACAAAUUAAAUUCAAUAGUCUUUGAUAUUUUGCUAAUUCUGGGCUUUAUAUAUAUUUUUCUAAUUUGUCCUCAUAAAGGUAUGUGUGUCAAGUGAGGAUGACAGGACAUAUUUCAUUUAGCAAUUUGUUAGUUUGAUUUAUAAUUCUAAAAAAUAUAUACUUAGGGAAUGGGGUCUCCAUUUGCUCCAUGCCUUGUAAAGUUUGGGUGGACAUGAAGGAAUCCCAUCUGUAGAGGCUCACGGUAGACCACUAUCCUGAGACUGGAUGAAGCCGAAGUGAAUGUCAAAAUGCCAUAGGCAUCCAAGGAUCACUGAGCCAGCAGGUGGUACCCAUCGACCAGACUGGGUGAUGAUAUUGGCAGCUGGAAUCAGCAGAGAGGUGACUGAAAUCAGCUAUUCCACUUCCACCUGCCCCACUGCCUGCACCAGUCAGCUCAUUCUUCCUCAUCUUCCCCUCUCCCUGCUGCCUUCACAAGAAGUCAAACAUGAGAUUCCUUCCCUGGAAAUUCACCAAGAGUUGAAUGCAGUUUGAAUUGCAGUUGAAUGCAGGGAGUGAAGGCAGUGUGAAGAGAGAAUUUUGAACUGGAUAGUAAUUGAAAUGAUAAUACUUGAAUUUGACUACAGAUAUAUUACAUUAAACCAGUGCUUAACAGAUUGCAGUAUUUUCCUGCUAUAGAACAUGAGUGGGAACUUAUAAAAGAAAAAUGGGCACCAAAAUGAAGUGUUUCAUGUUUGCUGAUAUUUGGGUUCUUCUAAUGCCUACCUUCUACUGGUAGCACCAUGCCAGAAAAUAGGACACUUUUUUAAUUGUUGAAAUCAUCAAAGAUAGAAGGAUUGGGAUUAUUCAUUUGUUGGCUUGAUGCAGUGACUUGUAAUUCUAGCUGCACGAUAGAAUAACUGAGAGCUUUAAAAAUGUUUCAAUUUCCAAUUUUGCCCCAUCCCAGAAUAAUUGAGUGUGAAUCUCUCUGUGUACAGAUUCUAUAUGUCUUAAAAGCAACCCUAGUGAUUCUAAUGAGAAAAUGGUGUUGUAACCCACAGGAGAUACCUGCUUGGUCAAUUGUUUGCCACUUUUGUGUCUGUGCUGUCAGAUAUUCACAGAUUCACCAGUUAAUGCUGUACUCUUUCCUCUUUCCCUAGCUGUGUUGUCAUGGUCCAAGACCCUGCCUCAGGUGCCUUGCACAAGAGCUUGUUUACUGAGGGGUAUGUGACAGCCACAUCAGUGACCUGGGGAAAUUAGCCUGUGUCAAAGCCAAUUAGUCACACUGUUUCCACUUUAAUAAAGGAGAUCAAUUAAGAGGAGAGCUGCACUGGAAAAUUCCCAGGCCUGCCAGACCUAGGGUGUUAUGUUGUUAGGCACCAAAUUCAUUCAUUCACUCAACAACCAUAUAUUUAGUGCCAGCUAUGUGCUGGACACUGGAAAUAAAAUGAUAAAUACAGAUACAACAACAACAACAACUUUCAAAGCACUCUCAGUUUUUUAUCACCUCGGAAAUCAAUUUCUCACCUGCCUAUUUUUUAAAAAAUUGCCUUCUCUCUUGCAUUGUUUCUGAUAUGGAAUCUUGUUAUCUUUAUCUUUACUCUUCUGUAUAUAGCAUGUGUUUUCUCUCAGACUGCUUUUAAGACUUUAAAAGCCCCUGAAUUUCAACGACUCUUUUCUAGACUUUGGAAUUUGAGAGGUCAGUAAUCUUUUUAGUUAGAAGAGUUACCAGUUUUAAUUGUGCAAGGUAAAAAACAAAAUGAAAGAUUUUUUGACACACAAAAAGUAGCAAAUAGAUCAUCUCAGUAUAAGGAAUUGCAAUUUAAAUUAAAUAAAUUUAGCUUCAUGAAAAACUAUACAAUUUUUUUCUCCUUUUGCUGCUUCCUAACAAGCAGUUGUUUGAAACCUUCCUUACUUCCUUUUUCCUUUCUUGUUUAAAGCUUGCUUUCUUUGUUUCUUUCUUUGUUUCUUUGUUUCUUUCUUUCUUCCUUUUUUCUUUUCUCUUUUUUCCCUUUCUUUUUCUUUCUAAUGAGCAGUACCUGUUCUCAUUCUCCAAAUAAAUAUUCUAUGAUCAAAUUACACUUCCAGCCAAGAUAGAGAAAAAGACCAGAUUUACCCUCUCACCUUAACCAAUAAAUUUUAGAAGUAUAUGAAACAAUGGUUUUCAGGACACUGGAUAUCAGACAAAAACAGUGAUUCCUGAAAGACAGGAGAUGAAUGAGGUGAGUCCUGUGAUUACCCCGGUUUAAUGUUUUGAGAGAGAGUCCAGUCUGUAGUGCAGGGGGGAAGAACCCAAGUCGAGCCUGGAAGACUCCCUGACUAGAAAUAGAGCUAAAAGUUGGGAGUGAAUAAAGUGACAAGAGUCACUGGAAUGUCUACCAGGCAAGAUAUCUGAAGAUCUGUAACUCCCUUUGAGUUUUAAGCUGAGCAAUAAUUAGCACAUGCAUGGAAGGAAACUACCUGAGGCCAGGAACAGAAUCACCUGGAAGGACAGAGGUAACAGUGUCUGGCAUUCACACAGAGUCAACAUAGUGCCUGUACCCAGAAAUCACACUGGAAAACCUCAUGUUUCAUAAGGCAUUUGGUAGAAUACUCAGAAAGGUCUUGUCUUGGUAAUGGGGGAUAAUUAGCCCUGUAAUACGAGGACUGCUCUCGUCCCAUUUAAUAAAUCAUGAAACCAAAACCUGAAAGGAUUGAACUAUUUUCACAUACAUUAACUGUGUCCCAGAACAAAGCUGAUUUGGUUUGGCUGUAUCUCCACCCAAAUCUCAUCUUGAACUGUAGUUCCCAUGAUCCCUACAUGUCAUGGGAGGGACCCAGUGGGAGGUAAUUUAAUCAUGGGGGCCGUUACUCCCAUGCUUUUCUCAUGAUUGUGAGUGAGUUCUAUGAGAUCUGAUGGUUUAUGAGGGGCUUUUCCCCUUUUGCUUGGCACUUUUCCUUGCUGCUGCCAUGUGAAGAGGGAUAUGUUUGCUUCUCCUUCCACCAUGAAUGUAAGUUUCCUGAGGCAUCCCCACCCCUGCAGAACUGUGACUCAAUUAAACCUCUUUCCUUUAUAAAUUACUCAGUCUUGGAUAUGUCUUUAUUAGCAGCAUGAAAAUGAACUAAUACAAAAACACAAGAAUAUUUACAGAGAUAUAAAGCUUGCAACAAGGUAAAAUUCCCAAUCGCUUUGCGUUUAUACUGAGUAAUGGGAUUGCUGGGUCAAAUGGUAUUUCUGGUGCUAGAUCUUUGAGGAAUCACCACACCAUCUUUCACAAUGGUUGAACUAAUUUCCAUUCCCACCAACAAUGUAAAAGCAUUCCUAUUUCUCUGCAACCUUGCCAGCAUCUGCCAGUCACCAUUCUGACCGGGAUGAGAUGUUAACUCAUUGUGGUUUUUAUUUGUAUUUCUCUAAUAAUCAGUGAUGUUGAGCUUUUUUUCAUAUGUUUAUUGGCUACAUGAAUGUCUUCUUUUGAGAAGUGUCUAUUUAUAUCUCUGUCCAUCAACAAUAGACUAGAUAAGGAAAAUGUGGUACAUAUACACCGUGGAAUACUAUGCAGCCAUAAAAAGGAAUGAGAUCAUGUCCUUUGCAGGGACAUGGAUGAAGAUGGAAGCCAUUAUCCUCAGCAAACUAACGCAGGAACAGAAAACCAAACACCGCAUAUUCUCACUUAUAAGUGGGAGCUGACCAAUGAGAACACAUGGACACAGGGAGGGGAACAAUACACACUGGCGCCUGUUGAGGGUUGGGGUGAGAGGAGAGAGAACAUUAUGAAAAACAGCUAAUGCAUGCUGGACUUAAUACUUAGGUGAUGGAUUUAUAGGUGCAGCAAACCACCAUGGCACACAUUUACUUACAUAACAAACCUGCAUAUCCUGCACAUGUACUCCAGAACUAAAAAUAAAAAGAAAAAAACAAAAACAAACAAACAAAAAUUCCCAAUUGUUUACAUCGAAUUAAUAAUUACCAGGCAUGCCAAUUAUCACUAGGGAUAAAGAAAAACAUAAACUAUAAUAGGAAAAAAGCAAUCAACCAAAAUAAACACAGAUCUAGAUACAUGGAAGAAAUAACAGACAAAACAGUGAUUACAACUGUAUUGCUUACAGACAAAAAAGUUAAACAGAGACACAAAAGAUGGUUUUAAAAAACAAAUAGAACAUCAAGAGAUGAGAACUACAGUUUCUGAGAUGAAAAAACUUCACUGGAUGAGAUUCACAGAAGAUUGAACAUAAGAAAAGAAAAAAAGUAGUGAAUUUUCAGAUAGAGUAAUAGGCACUAUCCAAAAUGUAAUAUAUAGAGAAAAUAGAUGUUUAUAAAAAUGAACAAAACAUCAGUGUACUAUUGGACAGCUUCAAGUGGAUUUAUUUAUGUUUAAUCAGAAUCACUCAGAAGGAUGAGAGUGGGAAGGGGCAGAGAAAAUAUUUGAAAAAAUGAUGACUAAAAUUAUUUCAAGUUUGAUGAAAGUUUCAAACCCACACAGCACAAUCAAAUUAUUCAAAACCUGUGAUAAAGGGAAAGUCUUAAAAGCACUCUGAUAGAAAACACAUGCUAUACAUAGAAGAGCAAAAAUAAAGAUAACAGUAGAUUCCAUAUUAGGAACAAUGCAAGAGAGAAGGCAAUUUUUAUUUAUGGUGAUUUUAGAACACUCAACAAAUUAGAAAUAGAAGGAAAUUCCUCAACCUUAUAAAGAGCAUCGAUGAACAACCUACAUCUAACCUCACACAUGAUGAUGAAAGACCAAAUAAUUUCUCCCCAAGAUAAGAAAAAAGAAAAGGAUGUCUGUUCUCACCAGUUCAAGUCAACAUUGUACUGGAUGUUCUAGUCAAUGCAAUAAGGCAAGAAAAAGGAAUAAAAGUUAUCCAGAUUGAAAAGGUUGAAGUAGAUUAUUUUUUUUCAAAUGAUAUGGCCCUUUAUGUAGAAAAUAUAAUGACAUCUACAAAAAAAACUACUUGAAUGAAUAAAUGAGUUUAGCAAGGUGGCAUGAUAUAAGAUUGAUGCACAAAUUAAAUUGUAUUUCUAUAUCGUAUCAACAAACAAUUAGAAAUUGAAAUAAGACAAUGCCACUUACAAUAGUAUCAAGAAAUAGGAAAUACAUUUCUUGUAUAAAUCUGACAAAAUACGUGAAAGACCUAUACACUGAAAACUGCAAAACAUUGCCUAAAAACAAUUAAAGACCUAAAUUAAUAGAGAUACAUUAUCGUUCAUGAGUUGAAAGACUCAAUAUUUUUACAAUUGCAAUUCUUUCUAAAUUGAUCUGUAGAUUCAACACAAUCCCAAUCAAAAUUUCAGCAGACAUUUUAAUAAAAAUUGGCAAAUUGAUUCUAAAGUCAUAUGGAUGGCAUUCAACCAAGGUGGAAAGCAAAUAAAUAAAUAAUCAUACGGAAAUGCAAAGGACUUAGAAUAGCCAAAAUAAUUUUGAGAAAAAAACAAUAUAGAGGACUGACACUACUUGGUGUCAAGACUUUAAUUAUAAAGUUACAGAAAUCAGGACAGUGAGAUAUUGUCAUUAAUACAGACAAACAGAUCAAUGGAAUAGAAUAAAGUGCCCAGAAAUAGACCAACACAUAUAUACACAACUAAUUGCUGAUAGAGGUACAAAGGCAAUUCAGUGGGGGAAAGAAUAGUUAAGUCUGCUCUAACAAAUUAGCACAAGCUGGGUGAUUUAUAAAGAAUAAAAAGUUACUUCUUGUAGUUACAGAGGCUGGAGGUCUGAGAUCAGGAUGCCAGCAUGGUUGGAUUCUGCUGAGUGCCCUCUUCCAGGCUUCCGAUUGCUGUCUUCUUGAUUAAAAUUCUAUUGCAUAGCAAUAAGGGAAUUGUAGCCUCCUCAACUUGACCCCGCUGGUGCCCAGAAUUCUAGCGACCAAGAGUGAAAUAAGCAAGAUGACCCUGGAAAUUGUGGGUAGGAGCCAGAGAACAAUGGAGAAGCCACACUGACUUACUUAGAUGAGGACGUGAGACAUGCUGUCUUUUCCCCAAAUACUGCAGGAAGGUAACCACUGUGGGAGAGGAGAUACAUUCUCUUAUUGUAUCUUUCUCUUUCCUGGAAAAGUUUUUGAAUAUAAUAGCAGGUUAUCAUAUUUCAAAUGGAUUAGGCACCCUAUUUUCUAUAUGCAUGGGAAAGGAUUAGACAACCUCCUGGAACUUAUUUUUAAAUUGGUAAUUUU